ACAGCAGUCGCCACGGGAAUACGUAGGGUGCAAGCGUUAAUCGGAAUUACUGGGCGUAAAGCGUGCGCAGGCGGUUAUAUAAGACAGAUGUGAAAUCCCCGGGCUCAACCUGGGAACUGCAUUUGUGACUGUAUAGCUAGAGUACGGCAGAGGGGGAUGGAAUUCCGCGUGUAGCAGUGAAAUGCGUAGAUAUGCGGAGGAACACCGAUGGCGAAGGCAAUCCCCUGGGCCUGUACUGACGCUCAUGCACGAAAGCGUGGGGAGCAAACAGGAUUAGAUACCCGUGUAGUCCCUGUCUCUUAUAC
rnacentral:rRNA from 1 species